rnacentral:tRNA from 1 species
AGGAUAAUAGUUAAUAAUAACAUUUAAUUUGCAUUUAAAAAAUAUUGAAAUUUUCAAUUUAUCUUA